AACGUAGGAGGCAAGCGUUAUCCGGAGUUACUGGGCGUAAAGCGCGUGCAGGCGGAUUGGUAAGUUACUUAUGAAAGCUCCUGGCUAAACCAGGAGAGGUUGAGUGAUACUGCCGGUCUAGAGUGGAUGAGAGGUUGAUGGAAUUCCGCGUGUAGUGGUGAAAUGCGUAGAUAUGCGGAAGAACACCAGUGGCGAAGGCGAUCAACUGGCAUCCAACUGACGCUCAGACGCGAAAGCAUGGGUAGCGAACGGG
rnacentral:misc_RNA from 1 species